AGGGGUCUGCAAUAGAAGAAAAACCUGCUGGUGUCAAAGCUUGAGAAAGUUUUCUGAGCUUCCCGUCACACAGAUGGUGUAUAAAUGCAUAUUGAAACAUGGAAAACCUAAGAAUUAAUCUUGAAACACUUCUAGGAGAAAGGAUCACACUGGCUCUCCCUGAAGCUCAAAACCAAACUGGAUCCUGUUAACUACACUGUGACAUCAUGACAGGAGUUACUGUAUGCAGGUUUGCCACUUAUAAUCAAAUCACC